GGAACAAUACGCCGUGCGCUCAAGAUGGCGCGGGGACACGCUCGCUCUCGAUGCUAAACUCAACGCAAAUCAAAAGCGAUUUGAAACGGUCGUCUCAUUAAAAUCGAUUUUUCUUGUAUUAAAACUAGAGUAGCAACUGGAAAAACAUGUCACAUCUCGAUUACAAGCGUUGGAUAGAAAAAAGGCCAAAGAAGGAGGGAGAGAGCGACCAUGAGGAGGAGUUCUACUACACAGAGCGCGAGGUGUCGACACCAGCGCCCCCACCCACGCUGUCCCACCGAGACAUGUGCCGGCCACCGCACGAAGACCCAGAGUACCAAAGGCAACUCGUUGGCUCAUUUAGGCAAGGAUUGCUCUCAACCAUGCAGAACGGGUCAGCGAGGCCUAUAAGCAUUCCUGUAUCGCAUUCCUGGUCCAACUCACAUUCACCGAAGCACAUGAGGCUCUCUGGUGCAAACGGGUCCCCGGGCAGCCCUGGCAGGCGGCCGCGCUCCGACAACAAAAAGUGCCGCAAAGUGUACGGCAUGGACCAACGCGAUCUCUGGUGCACCCAGUGCAAGUGGAAGAAGGCUUGCACGCGCUUCGGCGACUAGCGCGCGCGCCGGUUCUGCGCGCGAUACACGCCGCUCAGACACUGCUACUGAUGACCUCGCGGAAUAGACAAUCGCGAGUGCCGAACUCACCGAGUGCGAGUCGUGAUUACAAUAAGUUAGAAUAAAAACUUUUUAUUUGAAAAUGUUAAUUUAACACUAAUAUAAAUCAUUAUAUUGGAUAUGAAUUGCGAAGGAGACAUAUUUUUGCUCUUCAAAUGUGGCUCGUUUUGUCAGCAUUGCCCACGUAUUUUUGUAGCGCAGUAGAUUCGCCUUUACUGUGACGUGACAGCGGAGUCGUGUGUCGCUCUCGGCUGCAGACUGUGAAUAUUAGCUCUAAGGAUUAUGUUUAAGGCUUGACUGACGCGGAACAGUCUGAAAACAUUUCAAAUGUCGCGAGGCGCAGAUGAACUUAAUACUAAUUAAUAUACAUGGUAGAGACGAGAAUACCGCAAUAAACGUACUUGUUACGUCACUCGCAGAUUCAUAAUCAAUCUAACUUAUGCAAAAGUUUAGUCACAGGAUAUAAUUUUCCAAUAUUACCAUUUUCUAUUAGAAUAGGUAGGUACCUAUAUCAGUGACGACCUCACACUUCAGACCGAAAUAAAGUAUCAUAAGUCUUUGUUUUUAUUUAUUGUCGUUUUGUUGUCUCCACCCUGUAAGAUUAAUAAUCAUGAAGACUAUUGAGAUCAGAUUCAUGCUGCGUAUUGUAGCGAUUACUAUCCAAAUAAACAUAAAUUCCAACUAGGUAUAAACGUUUACUGUCAACAGUUUUAUAACUACUUUCGUUUCUAAGUCUGAUAAACACUUUUUCAGCCAAAAAUACUAUACUAUCUAUAGUUGUUAAAUGAAAAAUAUUAUUUUUAUAUUAAUACCACUAUUAAGUGUCUACUCUUGAUAUAGUCGCUACUGUAAGAUGCAAGUAGGUAAUAUUUUUGUACACUGUCCUUGGCUUCGUUGACGCUUCAAGUAGAGAAAACUAUUCCAGCAUUAUGAAGUCAGUAUAUUCCGUCCACAUUUUCGAAUGUGCUUUAGAAAGUGCUACGUGGUCGUGCGCAUUGAAAUGUUUUCACACUGUCCUCGCUGGGCGGGGAAGCGCGAGGGCUCGCUCGCUCGCUCGUCCCGCUCCCUCGCCCAGCUGAUUCUCGACUCGGUAAAAUAUUCCAGUCGACAAUACUUCAGUGAUAUUAAUCACUUAAUAUGAAUGUAUAUUGACUGAAUUAUUAGAUAAUAAAUGAAACAAAACUAUGUAUAUGAAUUAAUCUUUAAGAAUCAAUUCGACUAAAAGACUACUUAAAAGUGUAAAAGAUUAGAUUUAAAAUUUUAUGAACAUAUCUGUCUUUAGAAAGGGAAGACAAUACUCAGCGUCGCACGCGCAGCGUUCGCAAGCCGCGGGCCACGCGCAAGCGCACUGCCGACCGCCGCGGACGAGGAAAGCGACAUCUGCGCCUUUAUUGCGACCGCGAGAUGAGAACAACUAAUACUAUCCAAUCGGAUAGCUAUUCCAAGCAACGAUAAAGGUUGGGACCGACACCGGCACCUACGUCCAAUACCGCCUACUGUACAUGUGAUAUGAGAAUCGGAAUGUGAGACAUAAAGAGUCUAUGAAACAAAGUGAAGGCGAUGCGAGCUGCAAUAUUAUAUUGUAAGUAUUAUAAAACGAUGAUUAAAUUUGUAAAUAUAAAUAUUGUAAUUAUUAUAUCGAGGAAUAUAUUAUAAAGUUAAACUUUACAAGCAAUGUGUAAAAUAUAUAUAAAACUAUUAUUAGUAUUGUUACUUACUGAGUUAAUGUGAUCGUUUAAAUUUAUUUUGUACGGUGGCAUUAUUAGGAUAACGUGUUUGGAAAUUGAGAUAGUAUAAAUAAAAGCAAUAAACACGUUCGAAUCUUGUUUGCGUUGAGCACAUCACAGCGCGGUAUUUCAGAUCAAUGUGUAAGUUACCUACUACCAACACUCGAUUUCUUACGUAAUACUCGUAAUAAGUCGAUAUGAAAUAUUUUUAAUAAAUCCAAAAUUCUACAAAAUUACAGAUUGUUAACAAAGUGCCAAUCAAGAUUAUGACAUUAUUUUUAAUGAUUUUUAUAUGACUCGUUCUGUUAGAAUUCCUUUUUAGGUUCUCUAGGUCGACGUGUAAAACCCUAAACCGUAGUUACUUCAAAUUAAUGCAUCGAUUUUAGUUUAAGCUGAUGCUGGCCAUGCUACGAGCAGAGCUUGGGCAUGUGGAGUCAUUAAUAGUGGGCGACGUUGCUAGGUCUAUAACCGGUGCUGACUCACAAGAUUUAUUAACGCACAACUAUGUUAAAUUGCACUUCUGUGACCAAACGUGAAACUAAACAGUCCGGUGCAACGACAAAAUCCGAGUAGCAUUGGCAUAAGCAUAAACGUUGAUUUUAAUAAAAAAUGCAAGUACAGAAAGCAGUCGUAGGUUAGAUUAGAUCGUAAAAAUCAACCAGUCAAUUUACAAAGACCAAACACCUAGUUCACUGUUGUCGCGAUCCCGCUAAUAAUGCUAUCUUUAUACGUAAACUAAAGAAACUGUUGGAUUAGAUAUACCUUUAUUGAUAAUGCUCACGGAACAGUUUCACCAAACAUGUGAUAAAUCCGUUUACAAAAUGUGAUACUGUGAUCAAUCAAAAAUAUUAAUACUUACUUCAUAAAGAAAUGCCCACAUUCACGAUUUAUGUAAUUUAGAUCUCAGCCAAUAAGAUAAUAACAGAUAGAUCUGACAUCAAUUUAAAGAUUGUCCGUAACGAGAACACAUUAUGUUCCUACGCAUAAUAAAAGCUAUUUUCAAUAAAAUAUGUCUUGCGUUCUCGUCAUAAUUUAUUUCAGAGAUUGUUUUAUUUUGUAGAAAGUUAGUAUUUAGAAAAUUCUCAUACAUUCAAAGUAAUUUUUAUCUAUUAAAACCGUCAAAAAUAUAUGCGUAGCAAAAAAUUAAAGACUCUAUUUUAAUAUGCUUCAAAGACAUAUUUUUGGAACCGAAUUUCUUAAUUAUAAAUUCAAUAUCAUAUAUCACAACGAAAAUACAUCAGGAAAAUAUCUUGCCAAAAUUCAAAUUUGAAAUGUUGCAGGGUGUUUAUCGCGUAUUAUACCUCUGAAAUGUUUCGGAUUACACAACACUUCGAAAAUAUGUUUAAUGUAUGUAUUACUUUACGUGACGUACCUGCGAAUAUUACCAAAUAUACAUUUUCAUUGCAAUAAUGGUUGUGAUAAAAACAUCAUAAAUGUUGUCAUUUUAGCAAAUCACUCACUUGCGUUUGAAGCAACGAAACACCGCGCUCCAAAAACCAAAAUGAUCACUAAAGUUAGUUUGUACGAAUAUCUUUAGCAACAACUCAGCUAGCGAUUUGACAACUGCCAUAUUGUAAGGAUCUAGAUUUAACAACAGAAUAGAUUUUAAUAUAGGAAUAGAUAUAUUUUAAGUUGAAGUCAUAAUAAUAGUAUUUAAUAGAUAAUAUUAGAUACAUACAAUAGUUAAUUAUGUUACAUUUGAUUAAUUGUAUUUCUCUAUACAGUGAAGUUGAACAUAAUAUUAUGGAGCGAUUUCUAAUGCUUUGCUAAGACUCAAAUUAUUUCAUGAUAUUGCUAGUUUUUUUUUUCAAUAUUAGUGUGGUCAUUCCCGUUGCUCUUUCUGGUGGCUCAUCCUUUGCAAAGCUUGGUAAUCUUUGGCGUUAUGGUAUGGAUUAUUUUCACUGAAUAGGUUAAUAAAUAUUCGGUAAUACUGUAGAAUUAAUGAUCUUCUAGCUAAUGUGUGUUGUCCAGCUCAAAACACCUAGCGUGUCUACAUUUCGCCAAUACACAUCCGUCGAAUAAUGUGCAGUCUGCGCGGACGCACGGUAGUUUCAUAAACGUAAUAAGUAUACCGAUCUCAAUUUAUAUUCGAAGCUAUUAGUUACGUAUUCAUAAAUCAUAGAAUUUUUCUUAUUUUAUGUAACUUAUUUAGGACUUAGUUGAAUUUUAUUAUUUUUAAUAAAGACAAUUUAUUUUUUAUUAUUAAGCCACUUGUAAAUAUUUUAAUUGUUAAUUUAUUUAGCCAAAAUUUUGCUCAAUUUAUAUGCACUCAACACCAAAGUCAUAAUAUUAAACAAAAGUAAAAUGUAAACAUAUCAGUACAAAAGAGCAUAAUUGUAAAUUAAUCAUUUAUGAUCAAAUUUUUCCCCGUUUUUGUUGUUCAGGAUUGAGUUGAAGUUGGCUUUUAAAAUUUUAGAAUAAAAUUGUAAAAAACAGCGUUAACGAAGAACAUGUGUAUUUUCGACUUACGCGCAGAUCCCGCGCGAUACUGGCCGCUAGUCGACCUCUAAGUCUUAUUCAAUAUUGUGUUGUUCGGUUUCGUCUCAUAAUGACGCAUUGAUUAAUUUUUAUACUGAAUAGUUUAUCAUUAUUAUCUUUUUAAUUUAAGACACAAUAAUUCAUAUACUUAGUUUAAUACACCUGCAUUAUUUUAGACAUUACUUAGUGAAAUCUUAAGGCGCAUAAUAUAUUGCGCUUUGUUCCGUACUUAGAUCAUAAAUACAUACAUCAUUCGUUCAUUAUACCAUGUAAAGUAUCAAUGCCUUGUACAAGUUAUUUACGAUAUCUUAAUUUGUGUUUAUAACAAGCAUGUUAUAAACUAAAAUAUACUGUUAUGAAAAUAACAUCACAAUAACUCAAAAGGAAGAUUAGUAAAUCAUAAGCAAUGGGACAAAGUUGUGAAAUGGUUGAAUAUUCGUUUCAGAACAACUUUGUAUUUAUGUAAAUUGUGCCUAUCACGUUAUAUGUAUUAGUUUCUGUGUAAAUCCUUACCAUGUAAAUAUGUAAAUUCGCAAUAAUUAAGGUCUUUUCAAAGUGGAUAAUUAUAUUACUACUUGUAGGCGAGCCCUGCCUCGCCGCUUGUUACUCAAAGACGAUCAAUUUGACCGCAGAGGUAAACUUUCCCCAAUAUGUAAACCUUACAAAUUGUGAAAUUAGAAAUACUUAAUACUUCCUUAUUUUUCACUAUGUUUAGUACGUUAAAGAAUAAUUUGAAGUUAUCGUUAGUACCUAACUAGCAUGUAUUUUUCUCUACAUACAUAAAAUAUAGAAUUACGAUACUAUUGUUUCAUAAAUUAUAAUAUCUUAUUAUCUACGAAAAUGUACCAUUAUAUAAUAAUUAUUUAAUCGUAAUUUGGUUCAUACGAUUCGUAUAUUAAAAUUUGUAAAUAAACUGUAUUAAUUUUCUAUCCUGUUACAUAUGAAACUUUAUGUGGGCAAUCAUAGUUUAUGAAAAUAUGUCUCCUGCUUUAGAUUAUAUAGAUCUCCUACUCACCAUACAACGUGUCGGAGCACAUUUGAUUUUCAAUCUUUCAAAUUUUUGGUUGGUAAAUAUCGUGUUGCCUACCUUUGUUCUUUCCACGAUGAUCUACUCUGUGCUCCAGCAAGUUGUGUAUACUGAAUGGACCUUAAUAUUAAGUUCGUAUUACUUACGGUGAUAUUAUAAGUUUCAACGCAUUGGUUUAUUGCUCUCAAAUAAAUUUUGUCUCAUUGUUGUAUUACUCGUAUAUUCAUGCAUUCAUGUAUCUAUAUUGACUUGUACUGUUCUCACAUGUUCCCAUGUUAAUUUCAAUAGAGUGUAUAGUGUCAUAGUUGGCCCUUAGAGCCGGGAUUUAUCGAUGCGUCAUCUUUAUUAUGGUUACCAGUAGUUUUAAGGUUGCAAACAACAUUAUGAUCAAAUAAAUGUUGUUUCGAGAAUUAUAAAAAUAUUCUUCAUUAAGUACUUCAUCGUUUAGUUGUCAAUAUCACAGCAGUUUUUACCGAGACUGUCAGCUGAAUUUUUAAUGAGUAUUUCUGUGAUUCGUAAAAUAAUUUUGUCGAUUAAAUCUCUAGUUUAGCACGCACACUCAAUGAUGCCCAUCUUUUCAAGUACAGAUCAAUCAAAAUCAUAGUAAAUGAAACUAGCUGGCAGUUACUCUACUGUGAUAUUAAUAAUUUUAUUUAUUAUUUCUAGAAUUAUUAUUUAUAUCUUAAUGUUGAAAGUGACUGUGUGUUGAUAAAUUAGAUUAGGCGAUGUUAUUUCAUAAUGUACCUAAUGCUAAAGGUCCAGAAUGUGUUCCAAAUGAUUGAUUUUAUGAAUUAUAGAUAUUACCUAUUGAAAUGUUUAUGUUGAUGUGUUGAAUGAAAAUGUUGGAGAAUGUAAAACUUUUAAAUAAUCAAAGUUGUUAGUAUUACUUAUACAAAAGAAAAUAUCGUGAGCUUCACAAAUGAAUAUGAAACAGCGUAAUCGCACUAUGCUCUCUAAGGAGUCGACGCUAAAACGUGCGCGGUUCCGAUUGUUGUUGCGUGCGCCGGCGCAGAUCGGGCGCGCCCCAACCCCGCCUAGUUUUAGCGUAGACCCCAAACCUAAAUGUUAAAAAUAUAAAAUGCAUUUUUCGAUUGAAAUUUGACUGUGAGCCUGUAUACCUACUCAGUAAAUGUUAUACGGCGAGGGAUCUUUAAGAGGAAAUGUUAUUAUUUUGUUACGUGCUACUAAUAUUAGUGCACUGUUUGCCUGAAAUAUUAUACCUCAAUAAGUUUAGUAUGGAUUUUGUGUGUCUUAAAAAAUAUAUUUCGAUUAUUAGAAUCACGGUGGCAUUAUUUUUCAUUCCUUUUCAAUGAACUAGUUGAAUGACUAGAUAAACCUGUUGUAAUUGUACCCUUUAACAUCAUCAAAUUCUACCCUGAUUGAAAACAAAGUAAAAUAAAUCAUGAAAUUACCUUAAAGUACGUCAAAACAAAAUAUUUUAUAUCGUAGUUCUACAUAUUAUAGAUAUAAAUAAACAGAGGUGAAGUAUGUUAAAUGGAACAAC